GCAAAGGUCGGCUCAGCGCGGAUGGAAACCGCGCGUUGAGUGCAAGAGCACAAGCCGGCUUUACUGCGAGGCUGACAGGCCGAGCAGUUCGGAAACGAGGCUCUAGUGAUCCUGCGAUCCCGUGUGGAAGGGUCGUAGCUCAUCGGAUAAAAGGUACUCCGGGGAUAACAGGCUUAUCGCUCCCGAGCGUCCAUAGCGGCGGAGCGGUUUGG
rnacentral:rRNA from 1 species